CGGAAACCUGGCCUGGCGGCCACGGCAGGAACACCAGAAAUGGCUUGACCUCCAGCCGCCUAGGCAGGGCGGGGGAGGGCAACUUACUUCUCUUAGAGCGUCCGCGAUCCCCUUCUGUGCAGUCGCUUCUGUGUGAGACACCCAGAAUUUACCGAUAGACAAAGAAUAUGGGAAAGAUAAGCGUUUAUUUAGGCCACUGAGAACACAGAAGGGACAGCGGGCAGUCAGGCUGAGAGGUUGGAGGUGAAGGCGCAGCAAAGAGGCUGAGUUGGCAAAUGUGAUGUCUUAAAAAUACCUUUCCCACGCAUCCUGGCCUUCAUUGCCCUUUCACAAGAUCGUCAUUGCAGCUAACGUUGUACAUCGAAGCUGAAAAUUGCUCUUGCUUAUGUUAUAAAGAAUCUAUUGGCAACGCCCCCCACCCAAAACAGGCUUUUUGUUGUAAGAAAAAAAGAAAAGUUUAUUCUAUUUAACAAGGGCUAGAAAUUAGGAGAUUUUUAGCAGCUAGCUGGGGAAAGCCGAGUUUAUCACAUUCGUGUGUGGAUGGGCUAACAAUGGGAGAGAGAUCGUGGCACCUAGCUGGGAGAGAUUUCAUCCAUGAGUGGAUGGGCUAACACCAGGGGAGAAAGAUAUUAGCAAUUAACUGGGAAAGGAAUUAGACUUAUAUAGGUAUUGAAUGAGCUAAGGAAUCUGGGGUGACAUAUUUACGACUCAGAUGCCCAGGGAAGGUCUGUUCAGACCUCAUUAGUGCAGAGCUUCAUGACUGUCCAGGACUUGCUGGGAAGAAGUGUGUUAUGAAAGAAGUUUGGGUGCAGAGAGUUUUCACCCUGUGUGCUUGCCCCCUUCAGGACCCUAAAGGGAAGAUGCUGCCAAUGGGCUGUGGGGUUCUUUGCUCAGCUCAUGUGGAGAAUUUACAGAUUAGGGAAUGCAGCUCCACCUUCAGCGCCAGCUCUAUCAGCUCUUAUCGUUGGCAGCCCUCCUUGCUUGUUGGAGCAAAUUACAGAUGGGCCUUGAGUUCCUGCCAGCCUCUGAAAUGGUGACUCCAGGAAAAUAGAACUCAGAGAAAUGAGUAUCACUGUGAGUGAGUACAAAAAAGGCACUGAAUGUUUGGAAACAUGAAAAUGAUAUCAUAGAAGUAUUCAGCAGCCACUGGCCUGGAAUUGCAAAUAAAGUUAUGCAAACAUGCAAAAUGGAACAGAGACCCAGGUCAAUGCGUAAUGGUCCAUCUAUACAAUAGGUUUCCAUACUAAUAAACAGAAUGAGGAAGAUCACCAACACUCUGGUCUAGUUUCCAAGUGGAUGCUUUCUGAAAUGAGAAGCCACAUGCAGAACUGCGUGAAAUAUGCUAAAGCUUAUAGUCUUCGCACUUGAUGUCAGGGAGCGCCCUCCACUCUGCUCUGCUCUCCGCACCUCUGCUCACCUCACCGGCUCUCCUGGUGCUCUGGACCCGAGUCUGCAGGGCUCUGUGCCUGUCACACAGAUCUGCAUCCGGGGUCUUGUCCAUGGGCGACCUCUGUACAGGACCGUUGUGAUGCCAGUGUCCCUUGCAAAUGGACCAACUAUGGACGGAAUGACACCGGGAACCCUACAGCGCCUCUGAUGGCUCCCAGCUAUGCUAUGUCACUGGCACUGAGUCCUCGGCUUCCAAACCCAUCCACCACAGCUGCUCUGCCUCAGUGCUAUAAUAGUGGGAUCCUAUGCUGCACAUGUUCUGUAUCUGGCCUUUUCGUGGACAAGGUACUUGAGAGGACAGCCCGCAUCAGUGCACACAGCUUCCCUUGCUUAUCCCUGGGCUGCAGCCCACCCUGCUGUGCAUCCAUCACCC